UUCACUACCAUUGACUCAGUAGGGAGGCGAAAGAAAACCGAGCGCCGCCGCGGGGAAUACUGGACCUCUACCUCGACCGGACCACCGAGGACCUGCUCGCGCCGUGGCCUUAGCUUACAGCCGUGGAGUCCUGCCGUUAUGCGGAGCCGUUCUCUCCGUCGUCGGGAGUCGGGUGAAUGCCAGGGAGCCUCGGCGGAAUUCCUUCAAUCCAGUGUUCCUCACCGAGCCGCUGCACCAUGGUUGAGGGUCUCCUCGACAUGAACCCUGGUGAGAUUCUGGACCCCUUUGGUUCGCUUGUUGGUCCGCUCUACGUAGCACAAAUCGUAGGGGGAAAGUGGAGCUUUGGUGCUCGGCUGGACGGGAGCACCGGUGAUGGUCUCCGCCGUUGGGGGCGGCCGCCGCUGGUGCGGGAUCUGCUGCGCUCAGCUAUCGGUGGUGGAAGACAACCCAUGAACCGUAGAUCGCGUUAUCAGUGGCCAAGAUUAGAAGAUAGGGCCAACUUGACUAGAGCCUAUCUCCGCCAUUCGAUCAUGAUCGUGCGCGCAGGACUCCAUUCCGUUGUUUUAAAUCCUAGCCAUCGGCCGGUAAUCUUACGGUUCUGGUUGCUUACCGCUUCGGUAAUGGGCUGAUCUAAUCUUGACCGGUGGUCCGCGAUCGGACGGCAGAUAUCCACCCAUAUCUCUUCACGCGCGUAAACUUGCAAAGAAAUCCUUCUGUUUUCACAAAAACAACCCGCCAUCCGUGCGGGGGAAAACUGAGUCUCGGGACAAAUUGUGGUUUAGCCCCCGAGCUCUCUGGAUAUUAUGCGCUCAGCCCAGUGACUUAAGAAAAUAGGAAAAACAAUAUAGAAAAUACUUUUCUAGCACAAAAAUAAUUCUAGAACUUGUGUAAUUCCUAGAAAAUCCAUUUUAGCUCCGAAUUGACCCACUCUAGUUGCAAUAAUUUUGUUUUAAUAUUGUCUAUCAACUAGUAACACUGUUUAGCCAUGAAAAUUGAGUUAAAAUUGUUGAUUAGGAUUAAUCUAUUCUAAGCACUAAAUAAUUUCGAAAAUUCAUAACUUAAUAACCGUAGCUCCGAAUUUAGUGGUUCUUGUUUCUACGAGCUCGUUGUGGUGCGUAGAUUAUUAUUACAUAGUUUAUUUUUUUGUUUGGUGUGAUGUUAAUCUUGCCUAUAUCAUGUUUGUUUGUAUUGCUACGAUUAGCGCGAGGUUACAUGUCAUGUGAAGAUCAUCCUGGUACCUGGAAUCUCAAGUCCCAGGCAAGUUGUGCCCUUGAUCACUUCUUUUUACCCACUCAUGUUCUAAUUAAUCAUAAUGAUCUGCAUAGGUUAAUUCUGAUGGGACCCAAUAGGUUACCCUAGUUUGUCUAUCUUUAUACCUUGUUUACCACUGAACUUUUUGGGUAGUACUUGCUAGUGCUUUAUGUGGUUUUGGGUAUGAAGAUACAUUAUUCAUGAUCACACUUUUAUUAUCUGUUUAUUAUCACUGUUCAUGAUAAGAUCAUUAUGUUAAUUGGAACAUGGAGAACCACCCGGGAAAACAGUGCUACCACAAGGGUUUAAUGGGACGCCCUUGGCCGAUUAAUUAGGAAAGCUAGUGGAAGACUACCUUACCCGAAAGGGGCAAGGGCAGUAGGGGAGUGGUCAGUGUAGGGAGGCCCUCGGGAGGAUUUUGCUGCGAUGGCGGUCCUGCAAGGGAUUCCUGCAUUGGAGCUUCCUAUAAACUGUAGCGGGUUUUCUGAAGCUAGUGGAACUUUGUAAAGGCCUCGUAGUGUUACCCUGCCUCGCCUCCUCGGUAGAGGUGUAUGGGAAGUCGCGAUCCCUUGGCAGAUGGGUAACAUGACUUGUGGGUAAAGAUGCGCAACCUCUGCAGAGUGUAAAACUGGUAUACUAGCCGUGCUCACGGUCAUGAGCAGCUCGGACACUCACAUGAUUAAAUUAUGGAACUUAAACUCAAUUUGUCAUAUGCAUUGCAUCGCAGGUGAGGUUGUUACUUUUGUUCUACUAUUUAAUUGGGUUGGUAUUUACUUAUACUUAGUAAUUGCUAAUAAAAUUUUGAUCAACUUUAAAAGCAAUGCUCAGCUCUAACCAUCCUCUUUGGUAAGCCUUACACUUCACGUGAGCUCCCACCUUUGGCGAGUUCAUGCACAUUAUUCCCCACAACUUGUUGAGCGAUGAACGUAUGUGAGCUCACUCUUGCUGUCUCACACCCCCCCCACAGGUCAAGAGCAGGUACCCCAGGAUGAUGCGCGUGGAGGAUGCUGUGAUGAGUUCGUGAGUGGUCUAGGUCGUCGUCUCCCAGUCAACUUUGGGUUGCUGGAUCGUUUCCUCAUAUGAUGUAAUUAUUUAAUUAUUUUGUAUAGAACUCCUAUUAUAUAGUAAAGAUGUGACAUUCGAUCCUGUGCCACUAUGCAUCAUAUGUGUGAGACUUGGUCCCAGCACACCUGGUGUUUAUGUUCGCGCUCGGGCUUUGGACCCCUAAAACCCGGGUGUGACAGAAGUGGUAUCAGAGGAAUGUUGACUGUAGGACGAAACCUAGAUAGAACUGGACAACCCUUAUCUACUUACCUCGGCCACUCUGAUUCUUUCUAAACUUUUCUUAAUCUUUUCUCAUCUAUUUCCGCUUUUCUUUGAUUAUUCUUACCUUUUCAUUCUAAAGACAAAUGUGGAUUUCACACUUUGAAAUCCUGCACCUUAAGUGACUUUUAGGAAUAGGAGACCAAAUCUUAGGAACAAAAACAAAACUAUUAUUUUUUUUAUAUGCUUGAAUGUUUGUUCUUCUGAUAUUUGUCUGAUUUGGAUAUUUGAUUGAGUGUGAUGAGUUGUGGAGUAAUGUCCACAAUUUCAUCUGCAUAUACACAUAGGUAUAAAAAAAUAUAUUUAUAAAAUAACUAGACAACCUAGAUUAUUCCCAUUGGAACAUAUCUAGCUUAAAAGAUUUAUCUUAUCCUAAAAGAUCCCAUCCUAACUAAUUCAUCUUAUCUUAAAAGACUCUCUUAUCCUAAUAGCUUCAUCUUAUCAUGAAAGAUUCAUUUUAUCCUAACCACUAUAUUUAUCUGAUCCUAAAAUAACCACUAAGACCUAAUCCAAAAUAAUGAGAUCUUAACUAGUUCAAUCUAGUCGUACCAACCUAAUCUAGAUUCUAUCUAAUCUAUUAUGUUCUAAUCUAGUGUAAGUUACUUAAUGCUGGUACAACGGGUUAAGCCAUACUCCAGAUCCACUUAAACUUAAACUCGUGACCUAGAUCAACUCGGCCAUACCCAACAACUUGACCUACAUAACAGAUCUAUCUUAGCCUCUUGUCCCAAACCCGAAUGGAGACACCAAAGAGCAACACUGGAAAAGGACAAGAUCAACCUCAUCAAGGAAGGAGAGAAGUCAAACUCGAUCUUCAGAUGCAUUACCACCCAACAAGGAGUUAUUUCUCACCAUAAACCUUCUUACACCACGAUAUUCUUGCCCUAACCAACCCAUCUUUCGUCCUACAUAAUAAAAUGACUAUACAUAUGGAUACCCAUGCUUUCCUAAUCACUCAAAAAAAAAAACUCUUGAUUUUUGAAAUAAUUAGAAACUGAAAGCUAAAUUGCAAACCACUCUUCCUAUAUCCUUUUCUAACAAAUCUCGGGGACGAGAUUUCUGUUAAGGGGGGUAGGAUUUGUAAAGCCCUAAAAUUGGUAUAAUGUAAGAAAUGCAUAUAUUGAUAUAAAAGUGAUUUGGAAUUGUGGAGCCUUCGGAGAUUUAUUAGGUUUUCUUCUUUGUGCAUAUUCAAUUAAUAGGAAUUAAGGUGAUCAAAAGACAAAUAAAUAAAUACGGAAAUAGGCAUCUAACACUGAGGUUCUUGUUUUGUACUCAAAAGUGUGAAAACAAGUUUAAGUUUGAAAAUAGAACUUGAGAAUAGAAAGAGAAAUAAGAAAAGAGAAUAUACAAGGAAAAAUAUAUAUAAGUACCUAUAAUUCUUCCUACUAGAACUUUAUUUGAAAAUUUGUUUUGAUGUUUGAAACCUAGAGAUUAAAACCAGAAUUCGAAUUUAGUUUGAAUUUUUGAUUUGGAAACAAAACAGAAAAUAAUAAAAAAAAGAACAAAAGCACUUGGGCUGAAACCUCUCUGGCGGCCCACUCCUUUUCCUCCUUCAGCCAGCCCAAUCCGCGCGUGUGUCACUGGCGGGGUGGGACCCAUCGGUCGGCCUUGGGCUUGAUUCCGCCCGUGCCCGCGUUUCCUGUUGGCGCAGCUUGUCUCACUGUCUGGUGGGUCCCGGCUGACAGUGUUACCUUCUUCCCCAAUCGCUAGCAACAGCAGCGCGAAUGCCGCGGGCGCUAACAAAUCGCGGGAUUCUCUCCCACCCCGCGGAGCGGUGAACCCGGAACGAGCUCGUGCCCUAGAUUCCGCGUCAAACUGCUGCCGAUUUCCUUGGCAUGGACUCGUCCCUUCCCCCUCGCGUUCGCAUGAACUGAACCCAGGAAUCCGCGUGGAUGUCGCUGGCCGUUCCAACAACCCGGCCGGAAUCCCCUCACAGCAGAGUAUAAAGAGGAUUGAACCGCCCCGUCGUUAGCCAUCACGAGCCGGAUUUCACUACCAUUGACUCAGUAGGGAGGCGAAAGAAAACCGAGCGCCGCCGCGGGGAAUACUGGACCUCUACCUCGACCGGACCACCGAGGACCUGCUCGCGCCGUGGCCUUAGCUUACAGCCGUGGAGUCCUGCCGUUAUGUGGAGCCGUUCUCUCCGUCGUCGGGAGUCGGGUGAAUGCCAGGGAGCCUCGACGGAAUUCCUUCAAUCCAGUGUUCCUCACCGAGCCGCUGCACCAUGGUUGAGGGUCUCCUCGACAUGAACCCUGGUGAGAUUCUGGACCCCUUUGGUUCGCUUGUUGGUCCGCUCUACAUAGCACAAAUCGUAGGGGGAAAGUGGAGCUUUGGUGCUCGGCUGGACGGGAGCACCGGUGAUGGUCUCCGCCGUUGGGGGCGGCCGCCGCUGGUGCGGGAUCUGCUGCGCUCAGCUAUCGGUGGUGGAAGACAACCCAUGAACCGUAGAUCGCGUUAUCAGUGGCCAAGAUUAGAAGAUAGGGCCAACUUGACUAGAGCCUAUCUCCGCCAUUCGAUCAUGAUCGUGCGCGCAGGACUCCAUUCCGUUGUUUUAAAUCCUAGCCAUCGGCCGGUAAUCUUACGGUUCUGGUUGCUUACCGCUUCGGUAAUGGGCUGAUCUAAUCUUGACCGGUGGUCCGCGAUCGGACGGCAGAUAUCCACCCAUAUCUCUUCACGCGCGUAAACUUGCAAAGAAAUCCUUCUGUUUUCACAAAAACAACCCGCCAUCCGUGCGGGGGAAAACUGAGUCUCGGGACAAAUUGUGGUUUAGCCCCCGAGCUCUCUGGAUAUUAUGCGCUCAGCCCAGUGACUUAAGAAAAUAGGAAAAACAAUAUAGAAAAUACUUUUUUAGCACAAAAAUAAUUCUAGAACUUGUGUAAUUCCUAGAAAAUCCAUUUUAGCUCCGAAUUGACCCACUCUAGUUGCAAUAAUUUUGUUUUAAUAUUGUCUAUCAACUAGUAACACUGUUUAGCCAUGAAAAUUGAGUUAAAAUUGUUGAUUAGGAUUAAUCUAUUCUAAGCACUAAAUAAUUUCGAAAAUUCAUAACUUAAUAACCGUAGCUCCGAAUUUAGUGGUUCUUGUUUCUAUGAGCUCGUUGUGGUGCGUAGAUUAUUAUUACAUAGUUUAUUUUUUUGUUUGGUGUGAUGUUAAUCUUGCCUAUAUCAUGUUUGUUUGUAUUGCUACGAUUAGCGCGAGGUUACAUGUCAUGUGAAGAUCAUCCUGGUACCUGGAAUCUCAAGUCCCAGGCAAGUUGUGCCCUUGAUCACUUCUUUUUACCCACUCAUGUUCUAAUUAAUCAUAAUGAUCUGCAUAGGUUAAUUCUGAUGGGACCCAAUAGGUUACCCUAGUUUGUCUAUCUUUAUACCUUGUUUACCACUGAACUUUUUGGGUAGUACUUGCUAGUGCUUUAUGUGGUUUUGGGUAUGAAGAUACAUUAUUCAUGAUCACACUUUUAUUAUCUGUUUAUUAUCACUGUUCAUGAUAAGAUCAUUAUGUUAAUUGGAACAUGGAGAACCACCCGGGAAAACAGUGCUACCACAAGGGUUUAAUGGGACGCCCUUGGCCGAUUAAUUAGGAAAGCUAGUGGAAGACUACCUUACCCGAAAGGGGCAAGGGCAGUAGGGGAGUGGUCAGUGUAGGGAGGCCCUCGGGAGGAUUUUGCUGCGAUGGCGGUCCUGCAAGGGAUUCCUGCAUUGGAGCUUCCUAUAAACUGUAGCGGGUUUUCUGAAGCUAGUGGAACUUUGUAAAGGCCUCGUAGUGUUACCCUGCCUCGCCUCCUCGGUAGAGGUGUAUGGGAAGUCGCGAUCCCUUGGCAGAUGGGUAACAUGACUUGUGGGUAAAGAUGCGCAACCUCUGCAGAGUGUAAAACUGGUAUACUAGCCGUGCUCACGGUCAUGAGCAGCUCGGACACUCACAUGAUUAAAUUAUGGAACUUAAACUCAAUUUGUCAUAUGCAUUGCAUCGCAGGUGAGGUUGUUACUUUUGUUCUACUAUUUAAUUGGGUUGGUAUUUACUUAUACUUAGUAAUUGCUAAUAAAAUUUUGAUCAACUUUAAAAGCAAUGCUCAGCUCUAACCAUCCUCUUUGGUAAGCCUUACACUUCACGUGAGCUCCCACCUUUGGCGAGUUCAUGCACAUUAUUCCCCACAACUUGUUGAGCGAUGAACGUAUGUGAGCUCACUCUUGCUGUCUCACACCCCCCCCACAGGUCAAGAGCAGGUACCCCAGGAUGAUGCGCGUGGAGGAUGCUGUGAUGAGUUCGUGAGUGGUCUAGGUCGUCGUCUCCCAGUCAACUUUGGGUUGCUGGAUCGUUUCCUCAUAUGAUGUAAUUAUUUAAUUAUUUUGUAUAGAACUCCUAUUAUAUAGUAAAGAUGUGACAUUCGAU
rnacentral:lncRNA from 1 species